GGCCUAAAUUUGAAGUAGAGUAGAUUGGUAGAAUCAGCUGACCAUAUUAUUCUACUCCACUUCAAGUUUGCGCUC
rnacentral:pre_miRNA from 1 species